UUCCGAACUCCUGUUGCCUCGGGGGCGAACCCGGCCCUUCUCGGGCGUCGGGGCCCCCGGUGGUCCAUCAAUCAACCCUGCAUCUUUUGCGUCUGUAGUAAAUAUUUGAAUCAAUCAAAACUUUCAACAACGGAUCUCUUGGUUCUGGCAUCGAUGAAGAACGCAGCGAAAUGCGAUAAGUAAUGUGAAUUGCAGAAUUCAGUGAAUCAUCGAAUCUUUGAACGCACAUUGCGCCCCUCGGUAUUCCGGGGGGCAUGCCUGUUCGAGCGUCAUUACACCACUCAAGCCUCGCUUGGUCUUGGGCGCCGCGGUUCCGCCGCGCGCCCCAAUGUCUCCGGCUGAGCCGUCCGUCUCUAAGCGUUGUGAUAAACUGUUCGCUUGCGAGGCCGGGCUGGCUUGUUCGCCGUUAAACCCCCCAUUUUUUUCAGGUUGACCUCGGAUCAGGUAGGGAUACCCCGCUGAACUUAACCAUAG
rnacentral:rRNA from 1 species